rnacentral:rRNA from 1 species
AUUGAACGCUGGCGGCAUGCUUUACACAUGCAAGUCGAACGGUAACAGGCCGCAAGGUGCUGACGAGUGGCGAACGGGUGAGUAAUGCAUCGGAACGUGCCCAGUCGUGGGGGAUAACGCAGCGAAAGCUGUGCUAAUACCGCAUACGAUCUAUGGAUGAAAGCGGGGGACCGUAAGGCCUCGCGCGAUUGGAGCGGCCGAUGUCAGAUUAGGUAGUUGGUGGGGUAAAGGCCUACCAAGCCGACGAUCUGUAGCUGGUCUGAGAGGACGACCAGCCACACUGGGACUGAGACACGGCCCAGACUCCUACGGGAGGCAGCAGUGCGGAAUUUUGGACAAUGGGCGAAAGCCUGAUCCAGCAAUGCCGCGUGUGUGAAGAAGGCCUUCGGGUUGUAAAGCACUUUUGUCCGGAAAGAAAUGGCUCUGGUUAAUACCUGGGGUCGAUGACGGUACCGGAAGAAUAAGGACCGGCUAACUACGUGCCAGCCGCCGCGGUAAUAC